rnacentral:rRNA from 1 species
AAUAGAUACCCCGGUAGUCCACGCCGUAAACGAUGAGUGCUAGGUGUUAGGGGGUCCAACCCUUAGUGCCGAAGUUAACACAUUGAGCACUCCGCCUGGGGAGUACGGUCGCAAGACUGAAACUCAAAGGAAUUGACGGGGGCCCGCACAAGCGGUGGAGCAUGUGGUUUAAUUCGAAGCAACGCGAAGAACCUUACCAGGGCUUGACAUCCCUCUGACCGUUCUAGAGAUAGAGCUUCCCUUCGGGGCAGAGGUGACAGGUGGUGCAUGGUUGUCGUCAGCUCGUGUCGUGAGAUGUUGGGUUAAGUCCCGCAACGAGCGCAACCCUUGUCCUUAGUUGCCAGCAUUCAGUUGGGCACUCUAGGGAGACUGCCGGUGACAAACCGGAGGAAGGUGGGGAUGACGUCAAAUCAUCAUGCCCCUUAUGUCCUGGGCUACACACGUGCUACAAUGGCUGGUACAAAGGGUAGCGAAGCAGUGAUGUGGAGCCAAUCCCAAAAAAGCCAGUCACAGUUCGGAUUGUAGGCUGCAACUCCG